rnacentral:rRNA from 1 species
CACGUAGGGCGCAAGCGUUGUCCGGAAUUAUUGGGCGUAAAGAGCUCGUAGGCGGUCUGUUGCGUCUGCUGUGAAAACCCGGGGCUUAACCCCUGGCUUGCAGUGGAUACGGACAGACUAGAGGUAGGUAGGGGAGAAUGGAAUUCCCGGUGUAGCGGUGAAAUGCGUAGAUAUCGGGAGGAAUACCAGUGGCGAAGGCGGCCUUCUGGACGGAUACUGACGCUGAGGCGCGAAAGCCAGGGGAGCAAACGGG